AGCCUGGCAAUGGGUAAAGACACACCUUGUUGGUGAUAGUGUGCUUAAAUCAGUCAGGGGCAGAGCAGAUUGGAGUCCUUUAUUCACCUUGGCUUGAUGCUUGGCUUGGUGGCUAAAGCUAUCUUAUGCCUAGGACUCAUAA